GUGGGGAAUAUUGGACAAUGGGCGAAAGCCUGAUCCAGCCAUGCCGCGUGUGUGAAGAAGGUCUUCGGAUUGUAAAGCACUUUAAGUUGGGAGGAAGGGCAGUAAAUUAAUACUUUGCUGUUUUGACGUUACCGACAGAAUAAGCACCGGCUAACUCUGUGCCAGCAGCCGCGGUAAUACAGAGGGUGCAAGCGUUAAUCGGAAUUACUGGGCGUAAAGCGCGCGUAGGUGGUUUGUUAAGUUGGAUGUGAAAUCCCCGGGCUCAACCUGGGAACUGCAUUCAAAACUGACAAGCUAGAGUAUGGUAGAGGGUGGUGGAAUUUCCUGUGUAGCGGUGAAAUGCGUAGAUAUAGGAAGGAACACCAGUGGCGAAGGCGACCACCUGGACUGAUACUGACACUGAGGUGCGAAAGCGUGGGGAGCAAACAGGAUUAGAAACCCUAGUAGUCC
rnacentral:rRNA from 1 species